AUGGCUUCUUGCAGAUAUGGGCGUUCACAUCUCUCAGCCUACCCCUUUGUAUUGUGAUAACGAGAGUGCGAUAAUGAUUGCCAAGAAUUCAGUGUUUCAUGAGCGCACAAAGCACAUUGAGAUUGACUGUCAUUUCACACGUCAUCAUCUCCAGAAGGGCACUAUCUCCCUUCCUUAUGUUCCUUCCUCUUUGCAGAUUGCUGAUAUUCUUACGAAGCCGUUGACUGCUCAUCGAUUCCAUUUUCUGUCUGACAAACUCUCAAUGCUUAUUGCUGUUGCAUUGUGAGUUUGAAGGGGGAUGUUAACCUAAUAAUAUUUUGGGCUUUAUUUUGUAUUGGGUUUUAUGAUUGGGCCUUUUCGCUAGGAAACCCUAAUUAGCUUGUCUAUAUAUUAUGUCUUUCCUUUUCAUUGUAUUUGUACUUCUCUUUGAUAAUAAUAUGAAACCCUAGCCGUUAUAUGUAUUUCAUUUGUUAGUUUACAUCAAUCAAUUACCUUAUCUGUUUUUGAUCAAUAACUUCUUUUCUACACAUACGUCUUCGACCGUACCUCCGACCUCUAUGGCCUUCUUUCUAAUCGAAUCGGAGGAGAGGUCAUGUAGGUCACCGUCGUUUACGAUUGAAUCAGGGAUAUUAAGACGUGCCGAUGGGCUACGGAGGUAGAAAACGGCGGUGUCGUACUACUUCCUGUUCUGUUCCUUUUACUUUUCAAUUUGAAUUGACAUGCUGAAGUUUGUAAAGUUUAGUUUUUGAAGUAAUUGUCAGUUUUGUUCUUCAUCUACCUAUUUCUUCAAUUUCUUUUUGUUCUUUUGUCUCAGAAACCUUACUCUUGCUGUUUGAAUGGUCUUUUUUUUCCAGUGUAUGUGUGUAUGGGUGGAAUACAAGAGGUUCAGUUGACAGUCCUGUUAUGUUGGUAAUGUACCAUAUAGUUCCACCUACUCUAUCUAUAAUUUCAUUUGAAUCUUUUAUCUUAUUGCUUUACUGGCUCUAUCUUUCUAUAUUUCCAUUUUUACCCUUUAACACCAGUUAAUAUAUCUAACCAGGAACCCUAUAAUAGAGAGUCAAAAUAUAUUGACGUUAGGAAAGAUACACAUAGUAGAGUUAGUAAAACAUGUAAAUUCAUUAGGUAGACCAUCAUAUACGUAUAUACCUGCUUAUUGUUAGCUUCAUUAGGUGGACCAGCAUAUACCUCUUAUGGGUUUAUGGAAAGCUAGCAGUAUUGUACAUUUAUGGAUUUACCCUUGGGUUCAGUUUUAGACAAUUGAGGCACUUUAAUAUGUUUCGGCACCUGAAUUGGCGUUGAGGUUGUACUUACAUUGUGCAAAGCGGCUCAAGAUAUAAACCUCCUUCCAACGUUUGUUUUCUACCUUUACUCCCACUACACAUAUGUCCAAAGAAGGUUAAAAUUGGGGUUGUAAAGCUAAAACCUUGACUACUUUCAACAAACAGAGAAAAAAGAAAUCAAUAUAAACGCGAAGCAGAAGGGCCAAAAUCAAUAUAUUGAGGUGAAAAUAGUAAAAACUUGCAGGGAGCUAGGUAUAGGGGAUGGAGGAUUCUACAAACCUGGAUUCCCUAUCAUGUUUUUGAAGUGCACCAAGGUUCUCCUCUUUUCACCUUUACAGAUAAAUAAUAUAGAUAAUCCUGUAAGCCUUUACACCCGACAAUGCCAUUGUGUUAUUAUAAAUAAAUAAUACCAUUUGAUAUAAUAUGUAGAUAUGUAUGAUUUUAAAGUCCAACCCGCACUUUGAAGAGAAUAGGUGUAAACGCAAUACCAACAAUUGAGGAAGUUAACAUUUUUAAGGAUGAAACAGUUAUCCAGUUCUUAAAUCCCAAGGGUACUAAAUUUAUCAAUAAAAUCAGUUUUUUUUUUCUUUUUUUUUCUCAGGUAUCUUCACAUUUUGAGCUUCUAAUAUUUUCCAUUUGUGGACCCCGAUGGGAAUCUAUGGGUUAGGGAAUCCGGACAUGAAGAUGAUGAGGGUCAAGAUGUAAUUGCUUUGCUGCUGAUGUUCCCAAAUGAUGCCUUUGAAAAUGAAUUGUAGGCUUUUCUUGCUGUACGGAAGCAAAAAGACAUUAAAGGGUAACUUCGCUCAGGUGCUCAUUUAUGUAAUAUUUCUCAUUGAAUUGUUUAUAUUGUUGCUAGCUUUAUAAACUUUUUUUAAUUGGUGUUUAUUAAAAUUUAAAAUUAAUCAAGUGUUUGCUGGUAGGAGGGGUUCUUCCUUAUAGUGCAGUCUAACCACCGCAAUUUCUUAACUCCUUUGAAGUCAAAAUCGAAAGGAUUUCUCUUUUGUUCCUUAUAAUUCGCAUGAUGUAUGGAUUUUUAAGCUAUAAUGUGCUUUUGAAUUGUUGGUAAUCCUAAUUCCUAGGAUAUGGGGUAUAAAUUUU